GCGGGUAUAGUACAAUGGUUAGUAUGUCAGCCUUCCAAGCUGAAUAUACGGGUUCGAUUCCCGUUACCCGCU
rnacentral:tRNA from 1 species